rnacentral:rRNA from 1 species
CGAAGCAACGCGAAGAACCUUUACCAGGUCUUGACAUCCCGAUGCUAUUUCUAGAGAUAGAAAGUUACUUCGGUACAUCGGUGACAGGUGGUGCAUGGUUGUCGUCAGCUCGUGUCGUGAGAUGUUGGGUUAAGUCCCGCAACGAGCGCAACCCCUAUUGUUAGUUGCCAUCAUUCAGUUGGGCACUCUAGCGAGACUGCCGGUAAUAAACCGGAGGAAGUGGGAUGACGUCAAAUCAUCAUGCCCCUUAUGACCUGGGCUACACACGUGCUACAAUGGUUGGUACAACGAGUUGCGAGUCGGUGACGGCGAGCUAAUCUCUUAAAGCCAAUCUCAGUUCGGAUUGUAGGCUGCAACUCGCCUACAUGAAGUCGGAAUCGCUAGUAAUCGCGGAUCAGCACGCCGCGGUGAAUACGUUCCCGGGCCUU